GUAGUGACAUAGCGACGGGAGAAAGGGAGGGUAGUGCCAAAAAUUCUGGCUAAAUUAGGUCUUGUUCCCCCUUUCCUCAAUCCUUCGCCGCCGCCAGAGAAAAUCCCCCUCUCUCUCCCCAAUCUUCCUCUCCCACAUCACCAUGGCCCGCCGCGCGCCACCACCCCGCCGUGCCCCUACCGGCCCUGCUCCACCGCGCCCUACCAGCCCUGCUCCGCCGCGUCGCCUCUUCUUCCCCUUCUCUACCACAUCGGUGACCCAAUCGGACCAUCCGGCGGUGGGCACGAUGUCCUCACGCGGAUCUGACUGCCGCCACUGUCGCCGCCUCCAUGCCACCUCGAGCUGCUCCUUGAUGCAGUUGUCCCCGACGAGCACCACCCCCACACGACUGUCGCUGACGAGCUACUCCCCGACGGCCACAUCCUCUCCUACACCGCGGGUACUACGGCGAUGACAAGGGCAUCCACUUACCUGCUAGAUCAAGAUCGCGUCCACCACCUUGACUUCACUCCGAAGGUUCUCUCCCUGUCUUUUGCUCUCUUGUUUAGGUAGUUGUAUAUGCUCUAAUGUGUUCGGUGUUCAGAUCUCACAAGCGAUGCUCAUCUUUGUGAUUUGCUUGUUAAGAAAUUAUACUGCUUCUUUCGGCUAGCUUGCCGUUGUUGCAGAAUAUCAGUUUGCCCUUUGCAACAUCCGCUCCUGCAGGUCUACUAGGUAAAUCUUUUUAGUAGCACAGGUCUUUCAGUUUACGUGUUUCAACUUGAACAUGAUGUCCAGAACCAGAACUUAAAAAUAGAACUUUCACAUACAUGCAGGUUGGCCAUGCUAGUACUCUCCUGCACUAGCAUUUUGUUAACUUAAAACAUAUUUCCUGACUGAAUGUUUUUGUGAUUUAAAGGUACCAAGGAAUGUUUAAAGACUACAUUGGUGUUUUCUAGCUUGGAGAAGCAACAUCAACUUGGGAUGCAGAUUCACCACUAUAUGUGCAUGCAUCUCAUAGGGGGAGAGAUCUUGUAUGGAUGUAAGACCAUUUUUCUUCUGUUAUAGAUUCUAGAGUGAUGCUCUGCUUAAAUUCGUAUCCAUGCAUAAAGUCAACAUCCAAUGAAAUAUGAGCAAAUUAUUUUAUCUCUAUUACUGUAAUUGUGAGCUAUGACAACCAUAUAAAUAGAUUUAGUAUAUUUUGAUUGCAUAGUUUCUUUUCUGCUAUUUGAAAUAUGAAUGUGUAUCUUUAAUCAUGACUGAAUAUGCAUUUUUAAGCAUGACUAGAACUGCGCUGAACAUGCAUGCUUAAUCGUGUAUUUUUUUCUGCAGCUAAAAUUCAGCUGAAGCUUUACAGAACUAGGGGAACACUAAUCCAUAGAGCUAUCAUUUCCUUUGCUUUGUUUUUCCUGUAGAAUAGAUUAAGCAUAAUCUGAGUGGUGUAUAUGCAACACAUUUCUUAAUGGCCAUGCAUGCAAUUAUAAUCUAUUUCUGUCAAGACUGGAAACCUCGAGACGGUGAUCAAAGAUUUGGUUGAAGGAAUCAGCAAACAGAUGUUUUAGAGCAUCAUGUUGUGAGCUCUGAUGUUCCUCUCAAGACUUGGAUGGGCAACCUGAUGCAAGUUCUCAAGGGAUAUUUGGAGCAUGUACUUCUCAAGGCGAUGUGAUGCAUGUGUAGUUAAUUAACAGGUUGAUUGGAAGUGUUUUGAUCUAGCAACACUAGCUGAUAUGUGGUCUUGUCUAUAGCAAAUUCUAGAUUCAAAUUGCAGUGCUUAGACCAUUUUGCAACUUAAUCUAGCUUUUUUGGAUCGACGGGUGGUAUGAAUAUGUUGUAUGAUAAUGAAUAUUCAGUCAUCCAUGAAUUAUUUGAAUUAUAGCCGAUAUAUAUAUAUCCAAAUUUGGUGUA